rnacentral:rRNA from 1 species
CCGGGCUUGACGGAAAACGGCGAGUGAGCGGCACAGCUCAAAUUUGAAAUCUGGCCUCUUUGGGGUCCGAGUUGUAAUUUGUAGAGGAUGUUUCGGGUACCGCCUCGGUCUAAAUUUCUUGGAACAGAAUGUCAAAGAGGGUGAGAAUCCCGUCUUGGACCGGCGGUAGGGCCCAUGUGAAACUCCUUCGACGAGUCGAGUUGUUUGGGAAUGCAGCUCAAAAUGGGUGGUAAAUUUCAUCUAAAGCUAAAUAUUGGCCAGAGACCGAUAGCGCACAAGUAGAGUGAUCGAAAGAUGAAAAGCACUUUGAAAAGAGAGUUAAACAGUAUGUGAAAUUGUUGAAAGGGAAGCGCUUGCAACCAGACUUGAGCGCGGCGGUUCCCCCUUCCUUUUGGUUGGGUUACUCCGCCGUGUCCAGGCCAACAUCGGUUCUGGGGGUCGGUUAAAGGCUCGAGGAAUGUAUCUACUCCUUCGGGGGUAGACUUAUAGCCUCGGGUGUCAUGCGACCUCCCGGGACCGAGGAACGCGCUUCGGCUCGGAUGUUGGCGUAAUGGUUGUCAGCGACCCGUCUUGAAACACGGACCAUU